rnacentral:rRNA from 1 species
AUACGUAGGGGGCAAGCGUUAAUCGGAAUUACUGGGCGUAAAGCGUGCGCAGGCGGUUUUGUAAGACAGAGGUGAAAUCCCCGGGCUCAACCUGGGAACUGCCUUUGUGACUGCAAGGCUAGAGGACUGAAGAGGGGGGUGGGAUUCCGCGUGUAGCAGUGAAACGCGUAGAUAUGCGGAGGAACACCGAUGGCGAAGGCAAUCCCCUGGGCCUGUACUGACGCUCAUGCACGAAAGCGUGGGGAGCAAACAGGAUUAGAUACCCUGGUAGUCCACGCCCUAAACGAUGUCAACUGGUUGUUGGGUCUUCAUUGACUCAGUAACGAAGCUAACGCGUGAAGUUGACCGCCUGGGGAGUACGGCCGCAAGGUUGAAACUCAAAUGAAUUGACGGGG